rnacentral:rRNA from 1 species
AAACCCAACAGGGGAUUGCCUUAGUAGCGGCGAGUGAAGCGGCAAAAGCUCAAAUUUGAAAUCUGGCUCUUUCAGAGUCCGAGUUGUAAUUUGAAGAAGGUAUCUUUGGGUCUGGCUCUUGUCUAUGUUUCUUGGAACAGAACGUCACAGAGGGUGAGAAUCCCGUGCGAUGAGAUGAUCCAGGCCUAUGUAAAGUUCCUUCGAAGAGUCGAGUUGUUUGGGAAUGCAGCUCUAAGUGGGUGUCGUAAAUUCCAUCUAAAGCUAAAUAUUGGCGAGAGACCGAUAGCGAACAAGUACAGUGAUGGAAAGAAUGAAAAGAACUUUAAAAGAGAGUGAAAAAGUACGUGAAAUUGUUGAAAGGGAAGGGCUUGAGAUCAGACUUGGUAUUUUGUAUGUUACUUCUUCGGGGGUGGCCUCUACAGUUUAUCGGGCCAGCAUCAGUUUGGGCGGUAGGAGAAUUGCGUUGGAAUGUGGCACGGCUUCGGUUGUGUGUUAUAGCCUUCGUCGAUACUGCCAGCCUAGACUGAGGACUGCGGUUUAUACCUAGGAUGUUGGCAUAAUGAUCUUAAGCCGC